AGUGAACGCUGGCGGUAGGCCUAACACAUGCAAGUCGAACGGCAGCACAGUAAGAGCUUGCUCUUACGGGUGGCGAGUGGCGGACGGGUGAGGAAUACAUCGGAAUCUACUUUUUCGUGGGGGAUAACGUAGGGAAACUUACGCUAAUACCGCAUACGACCUACGGGUGAAAGCAGGGGAUCUUCGGACCUUGCGCGAUUGAAUGAGCCGAUGUCGGAUUAGCUAGUUGGCGGGGUAAAGGCCCACCAAGGCGACGAUCCGUAGCUGGUCUGAGAGGAUGAUCAGCGACACUGGAACUGAGACACGGUCCAGACUCCUACGGGAGGGAGCAGUGGGGAAUAUUGGACAAUGGGCGCAAGCCUGAUCCAGCCAUACCGCGUGGGUGAAGAAGGCCUUCGGGUUGUAAAGCCCUUUUGUUGGGAAAGAAAAGCAGCAGGUUAAUACCCCGCCGUUCUGACGGUACCCAAAGAAUAAGCACCGGCUAACUUCGUG
rnacentral:rRNA from 1 species